CGCCAGACUCCUACGGGAGGCAGCAGUGGGGAAUAUUGCACAAUGGGGGAAACCCUGAUGCAGCGACGCCGCGUGAGUGAAGAAGUAUUUCGGUAUGUAAAGCUCUCUCAGCAGGGAAGAAAAUGACGGUACCUGACCAAGAAGCCCCGGCUAACUACGUGCCAGCAGCCGCGGUAAUACGUAGGGGGCAAGCGUUAUCCGGAUUUACUGGGUGUAAAGGGAGCGUAGACGGUUGUGCAAGUCAGAAGUGAAAGCCCGGGGCUCAACUCCGGGACUGCUUUUGAAACUGUGAAACUGGAGUGCAGGAGAGGUAAGCGGAAUUCCUGGUGUAGCGGUGAAAUGCGUAGAUAUCAGGAGGAACACCAGUGGCGAAGGCGGCUUACUGGACCGUAACUGACGUUGAGGCUCGAAAGCGUGGGGAGCAAACAGGAUUAGAUACCCGAGUA
rnacentral:rRNA from 1 species